rnacentral:lncRNA from 1 species
GCCGCCUCUAAUUCCUCUCUUAUCUUAAACGCUCCCAAAACCCGGAUCGUCGCCUAUCCCUCUUCGACCCAAAUCCACCAGAAUCAAUGGCUGCUUUAGCCAUGGAUGACUUAUACGCACCUCCUACUGCUUUCACAUGCCUGAUGCCUGGAGAUUCGAGGCCACUCUUCGAGGGUCUUUACCCAGACCUUCAUCAAUUCAAGGUUUGCAGCCAUCUCCGGCCCUGCUCUGACAUAUCUUAGCAUUCUAAGCCUAGUUCCGACCUUAUCGACUCAGAUCUGAUCUUGUAUUUUCCAAGCCUUUCUCGUCCUAUAGGGUUCUCAGAAACCCUAGCCUAUUCGAGGAUCUUUUUUUGUUUAUUCAUUUGGAUCUGUGCUAGAUCUAUGCUAUAUGUGAUAUUUAAAGCAUUUUCCCUGAAUUUCCUUUUCAAAACCCUUUGAUUUUAAAUUAGUGUUUUUGAGUCUGUCUGUUUAUUCUUUGUUUGAUUCGUCUGCUUAAGAAUCUCUAGGUCUAGUUAGUAUUGAAAACUCUAAUUUUUUAGAUUUGUUUGAGCUUCUGAGACUACAUGUUAGUGUUUGUUUGAUUUACUGCUUAAGUGGUGAAACCCCUAAUUUUUAGGGUUUAUUUGAGAUUCUGAGAUUGUUCGUGUGUUUAUCUGCUUACCUCCUCUAAACUAG